ensembl:lncRNA
GUAUAAUUAACACUGUACACCAAUGCUGUGUUGGCUUGCUUCUAUGUUUUUCUGCCCCAUAUUUGUUGAUAAUUCACUGAUGCAGCUUUAAUGCUUAACGCUUUAACCACCAUAGUACGUUAUUCAGCAUGUGCACAGCUUUUGGUUUUCUGUGAUGCGCUCAAUCGUUCCAAACCUCGGUGGAGUUUGGUGGGACUGCUGUUGUUCCCUUGAGCAUUUACAAAGCGGUAUUGUGGGAAAUCCUAACCUGUGUUUGGUGCCUGACGCAUGUUUAAUCUCUCCCUCUUGUUAUCUGGUCCUCAUGCACGUUGAAGUCUUCCACUGUGCGUUAAGAUCGUUGCAGCGGAGGCUCCUGCUAACAACCGAUUGAAACUGUGAAUUACUACGACUGACACUGGCACAAAUAUAGUCUGAGCAUUUCAAUUGAUUGUGCAGAUUUUAUACCGUUGUUCUGUUAUAUAUUAUAGAAUAUAAACUUUUUGUAACUCAGGUAUUUUGUUAACGGUCGGUUACUUCAUGUUACCUUUUAAGAGGAUUGCAUGUAUCGUCAACAAUUGAAGUCUUUGUUUAACACCGGAGCAUUGAAUAUUAUCCCAGCAUGGCUGUAUAUUUAAACAGGAUUUUGAGAAGGCUGUUUUUUUACCACUAUAAAAACAGGGGGAAAAGUAUUUAUAGGCCUGAUCAAUUAACACAGAUUAAAAUAAUAGCACUGUUUUGUCUUAUUAUUUUACUAUGCCAAGUAUUAUAUUUUCAAGAAGAGCUUAGUAAAAAAAAUCAAGGCACUGAUCCUGAUGACUAUUGUACCCACCUUCCCCCCUGUGAUCAAAUCCCUGUAGCAGGUAUUAAUGUUUUCCAUUCACAGAUUGCCCUUAAAGUUGUCCCCAUACCUCCUUAAGGAGAUCAACUAACCCUAAAACAUGCAAUCACAAGGAGUGUCUUUGAUCAAUACUGACGGGUAAGUAGACAUAAUGGACAAAAUGAAAAGAACCUGACAGUUUCUUUGACUGAAAUGAUUGCUGGUAUUUACAUGAAUGGUUUCUACUGUAGUUCUUGGUGGUUUGACACUGUAAUGAUGAAUCUACUGUAAAAGAAAAGUACUGUUCUGGUGAGUUUUGAGAGAUGAGAAAAACCUGUAAUCCAUGUUGAGGAAUUUUGUACUGAAGAGAAAUGUCAAGUGUGUUCCAGUCUCAUCGGAAUGAUUCAACCUACUAUGUAACAGAUGUGUCAUAUUUAUUUAUACCGUAUUUUUAAUAAACCAGUUUAAAGCAUUUGAAAGGAAUC